rnacentral:rRNA from 1 species
CCCUUAGAUGUUCUGGGCUGCACGCGCGCUACACUGAAGCUAUCAACACGUUUUCCCUCCCUGAGAAGGGCGGGUAACCUUUUGAAUCAGCUUCGUGGUAGGGAUCGGGGCUUGCAAUUGUUCCCCGUGAACCAGGAAUUCCUAGUAGACGCGAGUCAUAAGCUCGCAUCGAUUAAGUCCCUGCCCUUUGUACACACCGCCCGUCGCUACUACCGAUUGAACGUUUUAGUGAGGCAUUUGGACCGACGCAUCUCAGUUUAACCGCUGGUUGGUGUUGGAAAGACUUCCAAACUUGAGCGUUUAGAGGAAGUAAAAGUCGUAACA